rnacentral:rRNA from 1 species
UACGGAGGGGGCGAGCGUUAUUCGGAAUUAUUGGGCGUAAAGGGCGCGUAGGCGGCGCGGUAAGUCGGGUGUGAAAUCCUGAGGCUUAACCUCGGAACUGCAUUCGAUACUGCGGCGCUUGAGGACUGGAGAGGAGACUGGAAUUCAUGGUGUAGCAGUGAAAUGCGUAGAGAUCAUGAGGAAGACCAGUGGCGAAGGCGGGUCUCUGGACAGUUCCUGACACUGAGGCACGAAGGCCAGGGGAGCAAACGGG